ensembl:lncRNA
CCCGCGCGCCCCGGGCGGCUGUUUGUUAGCGCCCGUUUAGCGCCGGAGCUGCGGGGAGGGCCGCUCUGGCGUUUGUGUGCGGAGCGGACUACGCGGGGCCGCCGAGCGAUGCUGGAGAAAACGGAGUACGUUGCCAGGGUAACAGAGUGUAAGCAGGAGAACAGCACCUUGCAGAUCACAAAGGCAAAUCUGCAGAAAGAAAUUUCAGCGAGUUUCUCUCUGCCUUUUUUGCAAUCAAGUACAGGUGAUACGUCUCCAAUAUCUCCUAAGAGCACAUUGAUCGUUUUCUAUUUGGAAGCUUUUAUAUAAUAACACUCUGUUACUGAAGACAAGCUCAGAUUUGUUUAUUGAGUCACCAUCUGCCAGAAGAGGGUCUCAGAUGUUCUCCAUGAUGACAAGAGUACAGAGCCAGUCCCACUGCACAUGGACCCCCCUGCUACCCAGAACCAGCUGGGGUUCUCUUUCCAAGCAUGACAUCUGAAGCACUGCUCAGUUUCUCAAGGACCCCAGCAAGGCAAAAAUGUCUCACACAAUAGGAAUGCAGAGAAAUGAUGGGUUGGAAUAAAUCAGGAAUUGACUUAGUUGUUCUCGUUUCAACCAGAUACAGAAAAGUUCCUCCAUGGGCAGUUAUUAGCAGCCUAUACACUAACAAAUGUUCUUCCUAGUGUUCUUGUUAAAAUUAAAAUAAAUAAAUAAUUGUUGUUUUAAAAUAGAUAACCUCCCAUGUUUAAAGCAAAAGUUCCAACCUUGUAAUCUUCCCUUCCUAGCUUUUAACUUGUGAUCUUUCACCUCCUUUAUACUGGUACCACUACUGCUCACCAGCUACAUCAGUGAGUUAUCUGGGUAAGAACUGGCAUGGGGUAACGUCAUGUGGGAGAUGGCAGGAAUGCCAAUGCUGGAGGAAGGCGGGAUGUCCCUCUUCCAUUCCUUGGUCAUUAUCCAGACAUAUUGGAUUAAAUCCAUGGUAAAACCUCAGCCUGGCAUUUGAUGAAGGGUGCAGGAUGUUCAGGAUCCACUGCUUUGGGAUGCAGGGACUGCAGGGUGGACUCAAACGGUUCUCAGUGAUCAAAGAUUGCAGUGUUAAAACCAACAGGCGACAUGACAGCCAUACAUCAUAUUAGCAAAAGAGCACUUCCAUGUGCUCUGCUGGGAGGCAAUGGUUCUGUGGGACACAUGCCAGGUGCUUCAAGAGCAUCCUGUAGCCAUAUAUCUGGCAGGGCAGGCAGAAGGAACGUGCUAAGCAGUAGCCUCACUCGCAGACUUCUGAAAUGACAAAUAUUCCUUAAAGGAGUCCAUUAAAAUAAAAUAAUGCCCUUUCAAUGUACAUAGGGAACAUAUAUAACAAAAUAUAUGAAGUACCUGUGUAUUUUCUCUAUUUGAUACCUGAAUCCAUGAGAAUAGGGGAUAAGGUACUUUCAGAACUGUAGAAUGGUAGAUAGUAGACAACAAAUUGUCUCAAAACACACUGAGAUAUGUUUGUAUUCCAAGUGAUGUGUGCCAGAUAUUGGGCAACAAAGUACGUGUUUUUGUGGAGAUGUGACCCAGCUGGUCUGUUGAGCCUUUGGUAAUGCACUUCAUGCUACUUGAGACUAUAUAGUGCUUCUAACCAUCCUCCCAGGGCAGUUUUCUCCUGCGACUCCACAGCCUUUGGGAGUUGCAUGGCCACAGCAAACAAGUGGAAGUAAGGAGCUUUCAUCCAACAGUGCCUGUUUUUCAAUCAACUCAAAAUCCACCAAAGUGCUUGAGUGGAAGGAGGACAGUCAGGAAAGCAAAAGAGUAUCUGGAGUUGUGAGUGCUGAAGUGUGCCUGGAGGCAGGGGUUAAAGGCAGCUGGAGGAGCAAAGAAACGCAGAGGGAAUAUGGAAUAGAAAAGUGCAUCAAAGCCUGGGUGAGUGAGUUAUGUCCUGAAGUGGUGUGUUUUGAUGGCCCGGUGUUGUUGAGCUAGUUGGAGAUGAGCACAGCACUGUACUCUUCAACAAAAGAGAUGAGAGUGGAUCAGGAGCAGACCUCUGUAUCCUGCUAACAGACUGGUCUAUGGAAGGGAGGCAAGCUCCUUGAUACAUGUAACCCUAAGCCAAGUGUGUUCCAUGGUUUUAGAAUUGUGGGUUAGGAGAACGAUAGAGUAACAGUAGCUAAAAUCACCCAGGUAAAGACAACUCUUCAGGGGUAAAUGAUGGCUGGUAUGGAGAGAUAAAAGAGCUGGACUGCAAGGAGAGAGGAGAACGGAGAACAGAGUUUUCAUUUCCAGCUCAGCUGGUCUUGUUGUAGUUUGAGCGCACGCUUAGGGUUUCUUGCUGUGCUCCAUAACUGGUGAAGCUGGGGGAGAUAGGAAGGGUCCCACCAGCACAGGAUGGUGCUGGAACAGAUGGAGCAGUCUGAUUCUUCCAUCAGGCUGGUGACAGUGCUCUCUGGAAGGUACCGUGCUCGCCUGUCGGGAUCCCUGAAGAUAAUAGGCUCUGUGCUCUCCAGAGAUGGACCGCUGCAAACGAGUCAUCUGGAACUAAUGGGUUUUGUGCCUUUGAUUGGACUGUGCUUUUCUGUAUACCUCCUUUGUCAGCCUAAAGGUCUGCUGAGAUCCAAACCAUGCUGUAAUUAUUUCCACACACAACAGCAAAGGUUGCUCUUUAAGCCGAAAUUUUGUCUGAUGUAUCUUCCCAGGAAAAUAAGCUUGAAUAAUUACUGGUUUUUAACAGUAAAAAGAUGUAACUUGUGUUUCGGAGGAUUAAAAUCUACAACCUUAUCUAAAUACAGAAAGAACAGCUGGCAAAAUGGAGUUUCUUUCUACAACUUAAACAGAAUCUGUCCUCCCCAAGCCUGGUUGGUUCUCAGCCUGCGUACACCUGUGUUAAUUUAAUAUGGUUCUUCAGUGGACGACGUUUGAGAGCAAGAAGGCACCAGUUCUGUCUCCUCUCUCUGUAUGGAUUCUCCCCUCGUUGUCUCAGCAGACAACACUUUGGCUUGCAGCCUUGGAGGAUGAUAUUUAGUACAGUGACUGUCGGAGGAGUGGGAUUUGUGGUGACUGGGAUUUUUGAAGCAGGUCUAAAUCCUGCUGGCUUGCAAAGAGAGUAAAUUCUAAAGGGUCACAAAUGCUGAUACCACUUGGGAGCUUCUGCCAUCUUACCAGACUUGAAACUGUGAGAACUGUUAUAGGAAUCAGCUUUGAAAUGACCAAAGGUAUCAGCUUGUCCUCCAUUAGAAAUAAUUUCUAGGCCUUGGGCUGCACCCAGAAAAAUAAAAAUAAUCUGAAGAGAUUUUAAUUAUAUCUCCACUAGUAAUAAAGCAGCUUUUUCCUCCAAAUUAAUAUGAUCGAUGUCUGUAUGCUAUUGAGAAAUGAGGGAUGUCCUUCUCAAAUAGUAUAAAGUGCACACUUUUGUCAGUUUCUUCUAAAAAUAAUAAUAAUAAGAAGAAAGGGAUUGCUGUCUUUCUGGGCUAGAAACUAUUUGUUCCUCUUAAAAAGCCUUUAUAAGUGUGAGGUGUCUGCCGUCACUCAGAACAGGGAAGCUGGUGCCUGGAGUAUCUGCACCUUUCAUGUCUGUGAGGGAACGAAAGAGCUUUGUGCAGAGAGGAAUUUCAGUCUGAAUCACAGACUGUAGUUUUGUUGGAAAUGGAAGAGUAGAUGCAGUGAAAAACUGAAGAGGGAAGUGUCUCGAACUCCAAAAUUCCUGCACUUCCUAUUAAUAGAUCUGUGUUUAAAAUAAUGUGAAAAAGUAAAUCUCUCUAAGGCAUUGAAUCAUGUGCAUUCCCACGAGUGCUCAGCAUGUGUCUGUGCUCCACAUCUCUCAUCAGACACUGUCCCUUCCAUGUUGGCUCCAGGCUUGCACUGCAGCAGGAACCUCAGUGGCUUUGGGGAUUGAUAGCUGACCUGGUGGUUCAUGAAACAUUUGUGUUCUCCAUACUUUAUUAGUCACUGACAGACUCAUUGUUUAUAACAUACUUCUCAGCAAGCUGUUUGCGACUCAUCGCCCUGCUUGCUUUAUAGUCUAUAAAUAUUUAAUUCUUUAAUAAACAGCUUAUAUGUAAUAUCAAAUGACUGAUGCACUUCUUUCCACUCUUCAGCAGUGCUACUAUUUGCAAAACAAUCUAUUUUUUUUCUUUCUUUUUGAAUAUCAAUAUGUUUCAUAAAUUCUUGAAUUUCCUUUUCUAAACAGCCAUUUCUUCAGGGUGCUUGGUACAAUGACAAGCAGAGCAAUGGUUCCUGUGGCAUUAUAAUAGCUGCCCCUUUCUAAAGUCUCCAUGGGGAGAUUCACUUCACAGUGGUCACAGAUUUGCAAUCAGGAGUAGUUUGAAACAGCAGCAGUCAUAUUUCACAGCUGUGCAUGUUAAAGAGCAGCAGCAGCCUGCACGGCCAGAACAGCCCUGCAGAAGCUGUGUGAGAGCAUCCCUGGUAGUAUGCAGAGCAGUGUGGGCAUCUCAGAGUAUCACUGCCUCUUGCUGCGAGCUGCAUCACCACUCCUCUGCUUCACACACAUUGCUUAUAUGGUACAACCUGUGCUUCUUUUCCCAUCUGUAAUCUUCUUCCUGCUACCUAUAGAAAGAGUCGCUGAUGGGAUCCACUGCGCUGGGGUCAGAAAGCCAUUGGUAUGGGUGGGUGAGGCGGAGGUGAUCUGCUUGGGUCACUGCGGCUCAUGGCAGCAGCUCAGUGCCUUGCAGCAGACAGGCUCUAGGGUACUCUCUGAGGUCUGGCUGGCUGCCAUACCAGUUGCAUUUUGUCUGGAUGGUAACGUGUCUCAGUAGGGCCUUCAAGAGUGUUGUGUGGUCAUGGACGGGAUAUUCAUAUCUAACCCUAAGUCAGGCUGAUGGUCAGACUUCCCUUGUGCCUUGAAUUUUUGCACUUUUUCAACUUUGAGCAGAGAGAGGCUGGAUUUAGGAUUCCUGCCUAGAGGUGGUAUUGGUGUCCUGUUUUUGUUCGGAGCUGGCAGACUUGCCUUGUGCUCAGAUUCCCAGGUGGCUUUACAGAAGGGUGUGUGCGUGUGCAUUACAAAUGCAUCUGUGGAGAUGCAGGAAGGAACUUGAUUCGGAGAACUAAUAGAUGAGAUCAUAGUUAUGAAUCUUCAGGCAUUGGGCAGCAGUCCCUCUUUGCUAUGGGCCACUGCAUCCUCUGCCCAUUAGUCCUUAGAUGAGAGCCUUAUCCUUCUGUUCAAGGUUCUUGGUGCUCUUUUAGUGAUAGAGCCUGCUUGAAGACCUGGUAGCUGUUUGCUCAGGACUCCACAGCCUGCUUUGAACAGAUGCUCAUACCAUAUCCUUGUCAGACACUAUUAAAAGGCAGAGAAACAACCCCGGUCUGGCAGCUGGGGAUCUGCUCAGUAGUGUUUCUAGUUAUUGGCAGCAUCUGCAUGUGCCCACAGGAUGGAAGGAGAGGACAGCUCCUCUGAGAACAGGUCCCACCUGCAAGUCUUUAUUUUCCAUCCUGCCUGUUCUCUUCUUGUGUUUAAAGCCAUGGUCCUUCUCUGGAGAUAAGGCUGGCAGCAGUAUGAGCCUUUCUUACACCAUGGGCGUUGUAGAGGCUGAUUCAGGAUCUGUGCACAGCGGGCACACAAGCAGGUUUUUCUAAUGUCCUUCGCUAAUGUCACUACGCUGCAAUGAGGGCGUUGCUGUUCUGUGAUGGCCCAUUAAAUCUUUGUUAACCCUAAGUACAUACAAGACCCUGAUCCAAAAAAGCAUUCCUAGCAGAGCACAGAGCAGCCAAGAGGUUCUUCUCCAUACACACACAUUUGUGUGUUAAAAAUAUCAAGUGAUAACAAUUCCCGUUCUGAGGAAGAAGCAGGUGAGAGAGGAUCACAGAAUCACAGAAUGGCUUAGACUGGAAGGGACCUUAAAGAUCACGUAGUCCCAGUGCACCUGCUGUGGGCAGAUCAGGCUGCCCAGGGCCCCAUCCCUGGCCUUGGGCUUCUCCAAGGAUGGGGCAUUCACAGCCCUCCGGGCAGCCUGUGCCAGGGCUUCACCACCUCUGGGUAGAAAUUUUUUUCCCAACAGCUGAUCUAACUCUCCACUCUUUUAGUUUAAAGCCAUUCACCAUUGUCCUACCACUCUCCUGUUGAUAAGCUCCCCUCAAGUACUAGGAGGUUGCAAUGAGGUCUCCCCAGUCUUCUUUUCUCCAGCCUGAAGAAGCAUUGUUCCCACCGCCUAUCUUCAUAGGAGACAUUCUCCAUCCUCUGAUAAUCUUUGUGGCCCUCCUCUGAAGCUGCUCCAACAGUUCCACAUCCUUCUUGUGCUGGGAGCCCCAGGCCUGUAUACAGUGCUCCAGAUGGGGUCCCACAAGAGCAGAGCGGAGGGGACAAUCCCCUCCCUGCCCCACUGCCAUUCCUCUGCUGAUACAGCCCAGGAACCAGGAAUCACUGUCUGCCAGGUCUGUCCCACCUUCAGUAUCCUGGUGGCACAUGUGGCUGGGAGCAGCCCACUCCCAGACUGUCAUCCCUGUGCUGGAGGCACAGAGCAGUGGGCAGGGCAUGGGCACUGCAUCACUUGUACUGUCCCUGAAGCAAUGCACAGAAGCCUGCCUUGAGCCAGCAACAGCAUCUAAACACUAACACGCACUGCCGUGUUGUCACUUUACCCACAAGGCUGUCAUUGAGCUCCUCCUUUGUUACUGAAGCAUGGCACUUAACACAUUCUCCCUCCAGUUCCUCUUCCUGUCCCCCUCCCACCGUGUAUAUCACUGAAAUUUCUGAAUGGAAGCAGGGAAUGGUGUAGGCACUGAGCUCCUGGUCCUCAAAGAGUCUCCAGGCAGUGAGCAUGACUGGUGCCCCAGCUUAAGUAUGAGUAAUGAUAAAUAAGUAAAUCACGCAGUGGGCUGUGCUAUUCCCUAAUGAGCCUGUUUGUCCCAAGCGCUGUGCAGAAAACACUCUUCUCCUUGGCAAUAACCUUUCUGCAUAUUAACAUUAUGCAUGUAUUCAUGUGACUUCCUCUGCUUCACCACCACCUCCUUCAACUGAUUUAAAUAAAAAUAAUUUAUGUGGACAUUCCUUCAGUCAGGAUUCCCCCCCCCCCCCCCCCCCCAAUAAUAUAUCGUUGAUGCUGUGCACCCAAAUGGGGUCGUUAUGCCUUUGCAUAUCAUUAUAAAGAAUUAUAAAGAACAACAGCGACAUCUGCAUGUGCUGCAGCGCUACAGAGAUGGGCAAAAAUAGAGAAAACAAACCCCAAAUGAGCUCUGAGCUUGUCUGGCUCUGUCUUUCCUCAGUGCCUUUGCCACUACCAUGGACGAAAGUAAUUGUACAGUGUAAUCACAUCACAGCUCAUCUGAAUAUUCAUAGCCGAGACAAAGACUUGGAGAAGAAACGUGGGGGAGGGAGAAGGAGGAAAAUUUAAAUAUAAAACAGCAUUUCAUUUUGAAGCAAAGUUCUGCAUUCAGCUCAAGAGAUCGUCUCGAUAUUGAUAUUGUCUAUCUUUCUGCCAUUCAAGACCAGCGGGCAGCAUAGCAUCGCGCGGGCAGCCCCCUCCAUUGGGAAAGAAAAUAAAGCAAAACAACAAACAGCGGUAGAAAUGCCCCCAGCAAAAAUGAUAUUUGAAGAGUCGCCAACAGUGGCUAACCAGCUGCUGUUUUACCACAGAAGAAACAGUCUAUUGAGGGAGCUUUAUAAAGACCCCAAUUAAUAUGUUGUGCAUGUAUAAGACCUACAAAGAGCCCACUGUGUUCCUCCCCCCGCAACCACCACCACCUCAUUCCUAUCGGUGCCGGUGGAGAAGGAUCUGAACUACCAAAUAAUUGAUUAAUCUCUUCGGCAGUGACAACACCCCUCUCCAAAAUAAAGAGAGAAGAAAAACAAACACAAGAGGCAAUUGCUUGCUAAUUAAUGCAUAAAUUACCGCUGGUUCCAUCCUCCUUUUUAUCUUCAAAAAAAAAAAAAAAAAAAAACAGAAAAGCAAGAGAAAGAGAAAUAUAAUCCCCAUCUUAAUGUAUAUGUUGUCUUCAUUUCUUUUGUUUUACUCUGGUAUCCUUUACUAAUAUUAACCAAGAAAUGUGGUGUUUGUUGAAGCCGCAGCUGGCUCUGCCAGUCUGUUCCCCAAAGAGCUCCUAUUUCCAUUCCACUGGAGCUUAUAUUCCUUUAAAUGUCUAGCGCAGCAUCGUUUACCCCUUUCUAAUACAUCACUCUGCUGAAAUUAGAAGAAUCCAAGGUUAUAUCCAACUUCAAAGGUUUCCAAGUCACCAUGAUUUUAGGAAAAGUAGAAGACAGACCAUGGAACAAGUCCCUGCUUUUGAAGAUAGGCAUCACAGGGACCUUCCUCCCUCUGCCUCUUUCUCGCUCUCCCUCUCUCUCCCCCCAACUUUGUACCUCUCCAGCUCUGAACGUCCUGUGCUAAUGCAGUUUAAUGAUAUGCAAAUGAAAUAUGCAUAAAACCAUUCUACUGUAUGAUGAUUAAACACUGGAGACAUUAACAGCCGACACUCCGCUGUUUGACUAUAAUAAUCUUUCCCGAAUAUCCACUUUGAUUGCGGAGUUAUGGAAACCCAUAGCAGUUGGCAGAGAGAGAGGGAAGGGAAGGAAGGAGAGAUGCGGGGACACAUCACCCAUCUCUGCAUUUAUCCCACUCCAGGAGACGUUUCCCCCCCUUUGUACUGCGUUCCUACUGCUGUCUUUUGUAAUCCAUCCAUGCGGUCGCACCAGGGCGAUUAACGGGAAAAAAACCCUCUUUUCUCUUAAUGUUUCAAAGCUCAUUAGCCAAACGAUUAUUCCUCAUUAACAGCGAAAGCUCAUUCAUUAACAGAAAAAAUAUGCCCAAAAGAUGCCAGCGCUGUUAAUCCCGAGCCCUGUAGCUGGGCUGUAAAUCCCAUGCUAGUAUUUUCCACGCAGAGGGGAAUCGCGCCAAUCCACAAAAAAAAAAAAAAAAAAAAAAGGAACAGCAAGAAGAAAACAUUUUGUGUGUUUUGUAAAAUCCGCAAGAGAGGCAAUUAAUAUUCCCGCUGUGUGACUUUAUUUUUUGUCUCUCCCUUUUGUUUCCAGUGCCCUUCCCUGGCUCAGCGCCCGGUGCCAACAGAACACCUUGCAGGAUCCUCAGCAGCGCAGACAACACAACGUAAGUAGCCAGCUGUCCCUUGACGCCCUCUUCCAAAAGCCCUCCGGCCCCUGCAGAGUGUGUGCGGCUCUUUCCCUCGCUCACCCUCCGGAGUGCCACCUGGGUUUCACAAGUAGCACCUUCCAAAUCUCUCUGUCUUCAAGUUUGUGCAUGUCUGUGUGGCAUCCCUCCUCCUCCUUCACUCCUAUAGUGGAUCUUGCAAAGGGCUUCAGAUCGGCCCCAUUCAUCUCCCUGGUGAUAGCAGUGAAUGUAGAUAAAUCUCUGACUGCCUGCUUGCUGCUGGAGUAUGAUUUUUAUUUUGUCUUCCGUGUAUACCUAGGUCAAAAAGUGGGAUGUAUGCUCACACUGUGUGGAUGCGUGUGUGUGUGAAUUUGUCUCUCCCAAGCACACAAACGUACAUCUCCUCACACGUGUAUGUACGCAUAUUACAUGCGUGCACACAGAUAUAUAUCCCCGCACAUGUAUGUGUGCACACAGUACACACACAUCUCCGCACACACGCACACACACUCAUACUUCUAAUCUGCAAUUAUCUGAGGCAUUGUGUGCAUGUGUGUAUGUGUGUCCACACGCACACUGCUCUGUGUGUAUGUGCAUACACAGGCAUCUCGCUAUCUACAAACAUUCCCUCUCCUCCCAGCAGAGGCUGUGUGCAGCUGUGAUCCUGCCCUAUGAGAGCGGUAUUCCUUCCUUCCCUCGGCGUGCUGUUUGGAGACCUUCGUGCUCCCCUCUCGGGUCCCUCCCGAGCUGCAGGGCUGGCACCUCUCCCUCAGCUUGUCCGAAUGGCGAAUGGCACUGUCCGUCGCCCGCGUUGGUACAGCCUCAGAUGGCACUUCUCUCUGGAUGUCGGCUGCUCCCUUUUGUUUGUUGUUGCCCAAUCUGGGUGUGGUGGGGCUUUUUUUGGAGUUAAUUGUAAAUGAACCUGAAUGGCAAACACAUCAACAGCUUGCGAAAAAAGAGAAAAGAGAAAAAAAAAAAAAAAGAAAGCCCCUCACAAACGCCUUCUGCUGCGACAGAUGCCCAUGUUGCCCCUGGCACGGCGAGCGGGCACGAGGGGGUUGUUGCCAAGCCUUUUUCUUUUGCCGUUUUUAUUGUCCGCGUUGCCGAUUUCCCUUUAUUUUUGAAGCCUCCAAGAUGCCGGCCUCGGCAUGGAGCGGCGCGGUGUCAUGGCGGAGACGACGGCCUUUGUCUCGCGGGGUGUGAAAGCAUCCGUUGUGCUGGCUCCACUGCGGCAGAAUGACGUUCAAGGGGGAAACGUGCUGGAAGCCGGCGUGCUGUGCCCAUAGCCGAGCGUGUCCAAGGCAGGGCUGGCGGCGGAGAGCCUCGUCUGUAAUCCUGGCACUUGCGCCUCUGCUCACUGCGCGCCGCUUGCUCCUGGGGGUCUGGAUAAUCUCCCUUAGCGUUACCGCACUGUCUGGCCCGCGCACAGGGCCCCCGUAACAUAUACCCGCUGCCGUUAUCACACGGAACUGUGGCGUUGCCACUGAAUGGAUGGCACUGUGCCAACUCUUCUGCCAUCCGCCCUUGCAGCUUUUUUUUCUUCCCUCCUCCCUCCCUCUCUCCCCUCCUCCUCCUCCUCCCGUCGACUUGACGUUAAUUAACACACGGGUUAAUUGAUUUUAAAAGCUGAAGAAUUACAGUUAACUUUUCCCACAGGGUACAGCCGCCUGGCACGGCGCUGCCGCUCGUGCGGUGCAGGGGGGCAGGGAUGCGCCCACAGCAGAGCUGGGUGGCUGCAGAGGCUCUGUCUUUGGAGCACGGCGGAAGGAAGCUGAUGUGCGCCCGUCUCAUCCUUCCCAAGAUGUCACCAUCGUGUUUUGCGACAAACAGUCCCAAUGCUCCCUCCCCUCUGCGCUCAAUGGCUGCACGGGCUCUGCUGGAGGGGCAGCAGGAGGGCAGCUCGGCCGCGUGGCGGGGCUCCCAUCCGCGCAAGCUGGAGGUGCUGGGGCGGGGAGCCUGGGGAACGCUGCCCUUUUCUGCUUAUCCUGUUUUCCAGGGCAUUUUUUGUUUCCUCGGUUGGCUCCGAUAUGUCACUUGGGGUGAAGAAUCUCAACCAGGGGAAAGUUAGAUGGUCGUAAUUACAGGCGAAAUACACCAUGUGAGGGCUUUGUUUUUUCGCUUUCGCUCUACCUCGCCCCGGUCUCUGCUGGUGAAUGACGGUGCGGUUGGGAGGAGACGCGGCGGGGCUGGGAACUCAUCGCUUCCACCUUCUUGUGCUUUCAUUUUAUUUCAUUUUGUUUUUUAAAAGCAUGAAGCAAGUGAAGCGACGAGAGGAAUCCAUUAUGCAAAUCAGGUCACAUUUGCAUAAUGUCUCAUGACUGGAAUAUGCAAAUGAGUUGUAUAAUUUAUGAGUGCCAGUGUCUGUCUAAAAGUGUUUCCCAGAAUUUAUAAAAAGUGAGACGUGGGGAGGGCAGCUGGGCUCGCUGCCCUGCCAGGAGGGCUCUGCGCUUUCUUUUCAAAGUCUUCCUUCAGACCAGCAGCUGAAAUGCUCCUUAAUGAGAAGCCAGCCACCCCUUCCACACUGUCCCCCUCGUUUUCUUUUCUAUUUCUCACUCUGCCAAGCCUGGACCUGCUCGCUCUGAACUUCUUCAGGAGGCGAUGGACCUGCACGCUGGACCAGGACUCUAAAGCCAUGCACCUCUGGGCAGUCUGCUCCAUCCCUGCAUCCGUCUGGGCACUCUGGCACUUCCCGGCAGGGAGGCUGUGCCUUUCAGGCGUGCUGGCUCCAUGGGCAUGGUGUGCAAGGAAUGGGUGUAGGUGUUUGCUUCCCACAGCAUGGUGGAACUGCUGCUCAUUCAGAACACACCGCAACCUGUGCCUAGAGACCCACCUUGACCCUACAAAGAGCAGCAAGGUCUGCGCAGGGCUGGCAGUGCCCCUGAAGAGCAACCUUGAGCUUCCUGCCCUGAGCAGACAGGAGCUAUUUCAGCACUGAAAAGGUCUCUGGAACAUGCUGGAAAUGCAGGACAAGAGCCAAGAUCGAUCUAGUUUAUGUUCACUCUGCAUAUUUGGAGAUCUCAGGAGCAUCAGGAGAACACAGAAACAGGUGGAGGAUGUGAAAGGUUACAGACAAAGACAAUGAUGCUGGAAAAAAAAAGAGCACACCAUAAAAAAGAAUUCCCACUGGAUGCUCAAGAGCAGAGGAUCUAUCAACUGCAGACCAAGCAGAGGCAGAGGCAGGCAGAACCGGAGCAAUAAUGCAGCCAGAUCCAGCAGCUCAGCCAGGAGCUGGAGGCCACCGUCAGCUGCAGGAGGAGGCUCGGACACAGUGUGGCUGAGGAAAAUCACAACACCAGCUGCAUGUAAGAAACUCCUGGAAAGAAGAACAAAGCCAUCUGUUCUCCAUGUCCACGAAGGCAUGCACAAGAACUAAUGGGUGUACCCUACAUCAAGAAAGAUUCAGGUUAGGAACAGCGUCUAAUGGAGAGGAGAACAAAGCAGGUGAACAGACUGCAAGGGGCCUGAGUGUUCUGCGUCACAGGAGAUCUUCAAGGACAGAUAAACAGAAGACAAGGCACCUGUAGGUUCCCCCGUCAUAGAACUGGAAGACAGGCCAUCAGCCUCUUGAGAUUCAUGCCAGCCUUGCUCACUUCCUAAACCCAGCUUUGUUUGUACCCAGAAACUCAUUUGUCUUCUUCAAAGCCCCACCACAGGGUCUCCUUUAGCAUUCAUAUGUUACCAACAUAUCACUUGCCAGGGUGAUUCUUCUCUCUAGAAAAGUGACUGCACGCUUGCUUCCUACCAUGGUUCACCUAACCUCCAAUGAGACUCAGUACCUGCUUUGUGUUGUAAAUGGUGUCCCAUCUUGAAAUGCACUGCCUGUGUUCCUGCACUGGAUAGUAGUGUUGAUCUGUGGGAGUAUUCUUUCCUCUUUCUUGGAACCUCAUUCUUAUGCUUCUGCAGGCUUGUUCACAGGAGACUGGCUGAAGAGCACACUCAUUGCUGUUUUCCCAGCAUUUUACCAUUGUGCCAGUGCAACGAGUCCCAUGGUCGCUCUCGAUGACUUCAGGUGUCCCGUAGGCAGCCAUCAGUUUGACUCUGGCCACGCUGCUGAUAAUUCGUAUUUGUUGAUAUUCCUCAGCAGCCAAACACACACAGUAUGCCCCAGACGGUACCCAGAUGUGAUUGGAGCCGAUACCCUCUUCCUGCGAACAGAGAAUUGCAAAUUAUCACUACAGCAGCAGAGGAAUAACCUUUACGGCUCAUUAAAAUUCCACAGAUUCUGCUCUGUUUUCCCUUCCGCGAACCCAAAGGGCACUGCUGGUGGAAUGGAAUUCCCCCCCCGCCCCCGCACCCGUCAGGUUCGGGCCGGGAUGUGACAUCUCCGUCUGUCCGCCGUCCCCGCCCGUGCCUGUGCCGGUAGGGGCGCCGGGCCCCACCAUGCGCCCCGAGGAGCCAUAGGACGGGGUCCGGCUCGGAGCCCUCCGCAUACGGUCGGGGAACGCGCUCUGCCGCAGCGUGCAGCCCCGCCGCGAGCCGCCUCUGAGCCGCGCCGCGCUC